UCUGCUGCACAAGAAGCACCAUUGCCUAUCUUCGAGAACAUGAAUAUCUAUGCAAAUUAAAGUAGUGUUUGUUUUUAUGAUUUAAUUUGUUUUUCAAAAUCUUUUUAUUAAUUAAUAUUUUUAUAUGGUUUUUAAUAAUCUAGAUAUGAUACUAUCAUAAAUUAAAAAAUAUUUUUUAAAAAAUAUAAUACAGAGUUAUCAAGUAAACACCAAGAACAUGAAGCCAGAGACGGGAUUUGCAGUGUAAAGUCGUUAAUAAGUCAUGGAUAAACGGACUUCUUGAUCUUGACCUUUGUAGGGUAUAUCUGAUUUAGACCAUGACGGGAAAGAAAGCUAGCUGUUAGUAUGCCAGCACUGACCCUCGCCCACAUAAGAACACACAUCUUCAUGAACGCUUCCAUCCAUGCUACGGCAGAUACAACCUUUUAACCAGUUGAUGUGUGAACCUGCCGGAAUGCUCCGCCCUGCCACGCAGAAAACCAGCCAAAUGCUCCGCCCUGCCACGCAGAAAUCCAGCCAGAAACCUGCCGGAACCCAACCCUUUAUCAAACCCAAGAGUUAGCCACCACGUAACCAGCUUCCCGUAUUUUCAAACGUCAAACUGUUUCACCAAACCUUCCACGACUCACUGCUCCUCUCGAAACGUGUCCAUUUCCUUUACUCUCGCUUCCUAUUUCAUCUCGCUGCCAACGAACCCCCCCUUUUUACACAGUCCAUGGUUUCACCCCACGUGUCCUGCUUUGACGUAUUCUGAUUUUGGAACUCCGUAUACGUUUUUGGAAAGAGAGUAGUGCAGCACAGUGAUUGGUUUGGUGGUGUUUCAAUUCCAAAGCGAGGAAGACGACUCCCUAUAGAGUAUAGAGUAAAGACUAACCUAACCAAGCGUUAUUCCCCGAAGGUGAGAAAUUUUCUAAAAAGUAACCAUGGUUCGGUCAGUGCAUUUGUUUUGCAUUAUUUUACGAUAACACGUGUCACGUGGCCCUGUAACUUUGCCAUCCUGUCAAUUUCAUGCACCGGA
rnacentral:lncRNA from 1 species